GGGAGGGUGGCCGAGUGGUUAAGGGUGGACUGCUAAUCCAUUGGGCUCUGCCCGCGUGGGUUCCCAAUCCCCCUCCUUUUCG